CCUACGGGGGGCAGCAGUGGGGAAUAUUGCAUAAUGGGCGCAAGCCUGAUGCAGCCAUGCCGCGUGUGUGAAGAAGGCCUUCGGGUUGUAAAGCACUUUCAGCGGGGAGGAAGGCGGUGAGGUUAAUAACCUCAUCGAUUGACGUUACCCGCAGAAGAAGCACCGGCUAACUCCGUGCCAGCAGCCGCGGUAAUACGGAGGGUGCAAGCGUUAAUCGGAAUUACUGGGCGUAAAGCGCACGCAGGCGGUCUGUCAAGUCGGAUGUGAAAUCCCCGGGCUCAACCUGGGAACUGCAUUCGAAACUGGCAGGCUAGAGUCCUGUAGAGGGGGGUAGAAUUCCAGGUGUAGCGGUGAAAUGCGUAGAGAUCUGGAGGAAUACCGGUGGCGAAGGCGGCCCCCUGGACAAAGACUGACGCUCAGGUGCGAAAGCGUGGGGAGCAAACAGGAUUAGAUACCCGAGUACUC
rnacentral:rRNA from 1 species